AAGAAAACAUAAGUGUCCACUAUCACCGUCAAUCAUGUGUUAGUUCUCUCCACAUUCAUUCACAAAAAUUAAUAAGAGCCCAACCCAACCCAUAUGACACACAUGCAUCGUCAACUAUCUCCCCUUACCUUUUUAUUUUUGUUUUAUUAUUUCUGUCCGUUUUCUACUUUAUUUUUAACAAAUACUAUCAAUUAUUUUUAUUUAGAUUUUAGAUACUCUCACAACAUAUUCCUAUAUUCCUUUUUCUCUUCUAAAUUUGGACCUAACAUAUGGCAUAAGCAAAAAAAGAGAAGUAGAAGAUCAUAUUAAUUUCCCCAG
rnacentral:lncRNA from 1 species